AGUGAACGCUGGCGGCAGGCCUAACACAUGCAAGUCGAGCGGCAGCGCGGGGGCAACCCUGGCGGCGAGCGGCGGACGGGUGAGGAAUUCGUCGGAAUCUGCCUUUUUGUGGGGAUAACGUAGGGAAACUUACGCUAAUACCGCAUACGUCCUACGGGAGAAAGUGGGGGACCGCAAGGUCUCACGCAGAAAGAUGAGCCGACGACCGAUUAGCUAGUUGGUGGGGUAAAGGCCCACCAAGGCGACGAUCGGUAGCUGGUCUGAGAGGAUGAUCAGCCACACUGGGACUGAGACACGGCCCAGACUCCUACGGGAGGCAGCAGUGGGGAAUAUUGGACAAUGGGCGCAAGCCUGAUCCAGCCAUGCCGCGUGUGUGAAGAAGGCCUUCGGGUUGUAAAGCACUUUUGUCCGGAAAGAAAUCCCUGGAGCUAAUACCUUCGGGGGAUGACGGUACCGGAAGAAUAAGCACCGGCUAACUUCGUG
rnacentral:rRNA from 1 species